rnacentral:rRNA from 1 species
AUUGAACGCUGGCGGCAGGCCUAACACAUGCAAGUCGAACGGUAACAGGAAGCAGCUUGCUGCUUUGCUGACGAGUGGCGGACGGGUGAGUAAUGUCUGGGAAACUGCCUGAUGGAGGGGGAUAACUACUGGAAACGGUAGCUAGUACCGCAUAACGUCGCAAGACCAAAGAGGGGGACCUUCGGGCCUCUUGCCAUCGGAUGUGCCCAGAUGGGAUUAGCUAGUAGGUGGGGUAACGGCUCACCUAGGCGACGAUCCCUAGCUGGUCUGAGAGGAUGACCAGCCACACUGGAACUGAGACACGGUCCAGACUCCUACGGGAGGCAGCAGUGGGGAAUAUUGCACAAUGGGCGCAAGCCUGAUGCAGCCAUGCCGCGUGUAUGAAGAAGGCCUUCGGGUUGUAAAGUACUUUCAGCGGGGAGGAAGGGAGUAAAGUUAAUACCUUUGCUCAUUGACGUUACCCGCAGAAGAAGCACCGGCUAACUCCGU